AUGGAUGUAUUCAGCAGCUAUGCAGACCAUCAUAAUGCUCAGAACCCUGAUCAUGGGUGUGACGAUACUGGAUGCGAUCAGCUGCCAUUUGUAUCACUGUGGUACACGUUUGGUGGAGGAACCAGACUGGAGGUUGGAAGUGAUGUCCGUCCCACCCUGACAGUGCUGUCCCCCUCCAUGGAUCAGGGGAAGGCCACACUCCUGUGUCUGGCCAACAAUGGCUUCCCUUCAGGCUGGGCUCUGUCCUGGAAGGUGGUCGGCAGCAGCAGCAGCAACUGGAAGGAGAGCAGCAGCCCCGGGGUGCUGCAGAAGGACGGCCUCUACAGCUGGAGCAGCACCCUGAGGCUCUCUGCAGACCAGUGGGAGAAGGUGGACUCUGUGACCUGUGAGGCCACCCAGGACUCCCAGACUCCAGUCUCAGAGACUCUGAGGAGAAACACCUGUUCCUAGUCACCACCUCAGUGACUUGUUUUUGCUUUUACUAAGUUUUCUGCUUAAUUUGAUUUUCUUUUCUAAAUCUUCUCCUUUGUGUUCCAUAAAAAUUGUUGAUUUUUGAUACUUUCUGCAAAAUAAAAAUGACUCCUUUAAGUUGU